CCUACGGGUGGCAGCAGUGGGGAAUAUUGGGCAAUGGGCGCAAGCCUGACCCAGCAACGCCGCGUGAAGGAAGAAGGCUUUCGGGUUGUAAACUUCUUUUCUGAGGGACGAAGAAAGUGACGGUACCUCAGGAAUAAGCCACGGCUAACUACGUGCCAGCAGCCGCUGGAAUACGUAGGCGGCAAUCGUUAUCCGGAUUUAUUGGGUGUAAAGGGCGUGUAGGCGGGAAAGUAAGUCAGAUGGGAAAACCCAGGGCUCAAACCUGGGCCUGCAUUUGAAACUGGUUGUCUUGAGUGCUGGAGAGGCAAGCGGAAUUCCGGGUGUAGCGGUGAAAUGCGUAGAUAUACGGAGGAACACCGGUGGCGAAGGCGGAUUGCUGGACAGUAACUGACGCUGAGGCACGAAAGCGUGGGGAGCGAACAGGAUUAGAUACCCGUGUAGUC
rnacentral:rRNA from 1 species